GCGUGGCCGAAUGGUAACGCUGUCCGCUUUGUAAGCGGAUGAUUCUGGGUUCGAUUCCCAUCUGCUGCA
rfam:Culex pipiens quinquefasciatus supercont3.72 genomic scaffold, whole genome shotgun sequence.